rnacentral:lncRNA from 1 species
UUGAUGACCCUUGAAGUCUUAUUUUGGGCUUCAAGGAGGCUGCUUGAGGCCAUAUUAGGGAUUAGGGUUAGUCUUUUGGAGGGAUUCAAACAUCGGAGGCUAGGGUCUCCAGAUUCAGGUUUUUGGCUAUGGUUUUGGUGAAAAUUUUUAGUCCUUUGGAGUUUUUAAGAAGGAGAUAUAGGCACUCAAAGUUGAAGUGUCGAUUUUGUACUUAUUUUCACUCUUUUGGAUAUAACACACGUAUACAAAAAGCAAUUGAGGAUCGGCAACUAGGAUUGAAGAGAACAAUUUUUUGGCUAUACUUUACAUAUAUUAUUUGAUAAAUUCUAAGUUAGGAUGAAGGAGAUAUUGGAAGUUAAAGUUAGCAUUUAGAAUCUAAGGAGUUGUAAGUGAUCCGAAUUGCUAGUAGUUGAGUUUUGAGCUAUAACUUGUGCAAUUUGACAAGAUUUUGGCUA